CUAGAUAUUUAGAUUCAAGGUGUCAGAUAGCCCUAGGGAGGGUUCUAAGGCUGGACGACCUGAGGCUUUUGGUCAACAAAGCUCCCCACACACACACCCGCGAUGGGUUUUUGAAAUUUCCUGACAUUUGUAAGCGAGCAUUUCGCUCUCCUCUGGCAUCCCGCCCUCAUAGGCAACCACCAAUCCUCUGUCUUUCAAAUAGGAUAUAGGCACGGCUAACGCCUCUUCACUCCUAAAUGCCUGGCCCCUCGUGCCUCCUCUUCCCUGCAGUCCCUUGAGAACUGGCCACCCUGUGAAUUCGGAAAGCCACUUCUGCUGGAACUGCCUUGAGAGAUGCAAUCCGUCCUGGUUUUCCUCAUUGCGACCACCUAGUCCACACAACAGAGUUGUUGCACACCUUGUGUACACUUCUGUUAAAGUGUUAUCCAAUUUGGGGGUCACAACCUGUGUCUCAAGUCAGCUCCAGCCACCCGUCCUCAGUAAGGCAAUUUAAAGAGCCAAAAUAAAAAGAGAAAGGAAAACGGGCGCUGGUGGCUCAUACUUUUAAUUCCAGCACUCGGGAGGCAGAGGCAAGCAGAUUUCUGAAUUCGAGGCCAUCCAGGUCUACAAAGCGAGUUCCAGGACAGCCUGGGCUACAUAGAGAAACCCUAUCUCGAAAACAACAACAGAAAGAAAGCAGGGGAGGGAAGAGAAAGGAAAAAAAGAAACGGAGCCUGCUGACAUGGUAGCUCACACCUUUAAUCCCAGCACUCAGGAAGCAGAGCACCCUCAGGCAAUGGAACUGUAGUCACUUAAGAUUGUAGACCACCGUGAGUGCCAUGAACCAAACCCUGAAGUGCUCCAAACCACUGAGUCAUCUCUCCAGUCCUUUAGCUGCUUUUUACAUCUAUUUGGUGAAGCAGAAAACCUAGUUUGCACAUUGUUUUGGAUUUUUGAGAGAACAAGACGUCUGAACUUACAGAUGAUAGAAUUCCAUCUUAGACCGUGAUGAUGAAAACAACCACUAACAGAACAGUAAUGAGCUGAAAGGAAUUUGGGGAUUUGAAGACUUGGU
rnacentral:lncRNA from 1 species